CAAGUAGCUGGGAUUACAGGUGGCGAUCACUGCAACCUGGCUAAUAUUUUGUAUUUUUAGUAGAGAUGGGGUUUUACCAUGUUGGCCAGGCAGGUCUCAAACUCCUGACCUUAAGUGAUCCACCCCCUGGGUCUCUCAAAGUGCUGGGAUUACAGGUGUAAGCCACCAUGCCCGGACCACUUUUCAUUUUCUACAGUCUUUCAAUCAAUGGAAGUUUAAUUCAGAUAUCUUGCUCCAUGGCAGUGAAGUAUGUUGAAGGGAUUCAACCGCCCUGCCUCCCCAAUAUUCCAUCCACUGUACCCCAACUUCUCCCCAGUUCCUUUGAGCUUUCGCCCAGGAUGGAAAGCUCAGAGCCAGGAGGCCACUCUCCCAUUCAGAUUCCCUCUGAUGUUUGGCUGCCACAAAAUCCCUCCAACUAGAAGAAAUUGGUUUUGGACUACUCAUUUCCUUUGCGUGAUAUUGCCCCUAUUUUAGGUAUAGAAUACAAUUUCAUGUUUUAACCAUUGGAAAAAAAACUGAAAAUUAUCAUUUUCUCUCUCAAUAAAUUCUGACUUUCUAUUGCCUGGAUAAGAUGUCAAAACUUCUUUAUUGAAGAACAAAGACUAAAGAUUAAUUUUCUACUUUUAAAUUAAUAAAAUUCUUAAAUCUCCACUCCUUUCACCUUAACACCCUACACCACCCAGAUCAGGCAGGGAGUUGCCCUUGGGCAUCAAGGAAGUCACAUACACGGAAAAGCAAAGAGGAGCAGCACACGCGUCUUUGUAAGUAUCGCCUCAUUUGUCAUGACUUUUCUUCACUAUCUCUGCCAGAACCAGCUACACAAUUUGCGCACCAACUGCAAAAUGAAAAUGUGGGCCUCUUUUUAAAAAAUUAUUAAGAAUUUCAAGACAGUGACAAGAAAGCAUUAAACCAAACACCAGAGCCCUCUAAAGGUGGGGCCCUGUGUCACUGCACAGCUCACACACCCCUGCAGCUGGCCCUGGC
rnacentral:lncRNA from 10 species